GUUGGGUAGGGGAGCGUUCUGUAAGCCUGUGAAGGUGUGUCGUGAGGCAUGCUGGAGGUAUCAGAAGUGCGAAUGCUGACAUAAGUAACGAUAAAGCGGGUGAAAAGCCCGCUCGCCGGAAGACCAAGGGUUCCUGUCCAACGUUAAUCGGGGCAGGGUGAGUCGACCCCUAAGGCGAGGCCGAAAGGCGUAGUCGAUGGGAAACGGGUUAAUAUUCCCGUACUUGGUGUUACUGCGAAGGGGGGACGGAGAAGGCUAUGUUGGCCGGGCGACGGUUGUCCCGGUUUAAGCGUGUAGGUGUGUGUUCCAGGUAAAUCCGGUUCACUUUAACACUGAGGCGUGAUGACGAGGCACUACGGUGCUGAAGCAACAAAUGCCCUGCUUCCAGGAAAAGCCUCUAAGCAUCAGGUAACAUCAAAUCGUACCCCAAACCGACACAGGUGGUCAGGUAGAGAAUACCAAGGCGCUUGAGAGAACUCGGGUGAAGGAACUAGGCAAAAUGGUGCCGUAACUUCGGGAGAAGGCACGCUGACAUGUAGGUGAAGUGAUUUACUCACGGAGCUGAAGUCAGUCGAAGAUACCAGCUGGCUGCAACUGUUUAUUAAAAACACAGCACUGUGCAAACACGAAAGUGGACGUAUACGGUGUGACGCCUGCCCGGUGCCGGAAGGUUAAUUGAUGGGGUCAGCGCAAGCGAAGCUCCUGAUCGAAGCCCCGGUAAACGGCGGCCGUAACUAUAACGGUCCUAAGGUAGCGAAAUUCCUUGUCGGGUAAGUUCCGACCUGCACGAAUGGCGUAAUGAUGGCCAGGCUGUCUCCACCCGAGACUCAGUGAAAUUGAACUCGCUGUGAAGAUGCAGUGUACCCGCGGCAAGACGGAAAGACCCCGUGAACCUUUACUAUAGCUUGACACUGAACAUUGAGCCUUGAUGUGUAGGAUAGGUGGGAGGCUUUGAAGUGUGGACGCCAGUCUGCAUGGAGCCAACCUUGAAAUACCACCCUUUAAUGUUUGAUGUUCUAACGUGGACCCGUGAUCCGGGUUGCGGACAGUGUCUGGUGGGUAGUUUGACUGGGGCGGUCUCCUCCUAAAGAGUAACGGAGGAGCACGAAGGUUGGCUAAUCCUGGUCGGACAUCAGGAGGUUAGUGCAAUGGCAUAAGCCAGCUUGACUGCGAGCGUGACGGCGCGAGCAGGUGCGAAAGCAGGUCAUAGUGAUCCGGUGGUUCUGAAUGGAAGGGCCAUCGCUCAACGGAUAAAAGGUACUCCGGGGAUAACAGGCUGAUACCGCCCAAGAGUUCAUAUCGACGGCGGUGUUUGGCACCUCGAUGUCGGCUCAUCACAUCCUGGGGCUGAAGUAGGUCCCAAGGGUAUGGCUGUUCGCCAUUUAAAGUGGUACGCGAGCUGGGUUUAGAACGUCGUGAGACAGUUCGGUCCCUAUCUGCCGUGGGCGCUGGAGAACUGAGGGGGGCUGCUCCUAGUACGAGAGGACCGGAGUGGACGCAUCACUGGUGUUCGGGUUGUCAUGCCAAUGGCACUGCCCGGUAGCUAAAUGCGGAAGAGAUAAGUGCUGAAAGCAUCUAAGCACGAAACUUGCCCCGAGAUGAGUUCUCCCUGAGACUUAGAGUCUCCUGAAGGAACGUUGAAGACGACGACGUUGAUAGGCCGGGUGUGUAAGCGCAGCGAUGCGUUGAGCUAACCGGUACUAAUGAACCGUGAGGCUUAACCUUACAACGCCGAAG
rnacentral:rRNA from 1 species